AUCGGACUGUCGUACAUUCAUAUGAUGUACUUCGUUUCGGAGCCUCUUCUUCUGGCGUAGUACAAGAAGAAACCUCAGAAUUAUGAGUUGGGACUGCAGCUUUCAGUAUGGUAGCUUAGUGGAAGAGGUGGAUGGUCAGACAGCAGUGUUCUCUGUAAACAUAUAAAGUCAAUGAUACGUCGUGUAGAUUGCCGUGGAUAUUGGUUUAUUAACCUUUCCAAAUGGAGUUACGCGGCUCGUUAUUGGUGUAGUCACAACCUUGGUUGUUGAAAUGGCUUUCCUUACAGGAAAAUACACUAGAAGAAUUUGCAUAGCUGGUUAUCAGUGCCGUUAGGUUUGGCAUAUAAUUUAUGACUCCUUCAAACCCCUUGAGAAAUUACGAUCAAACUUCAUAUAUGUUCUUUGUCACAGAAAAAGUGUUUAAUGGCACUAGAGUUACGACAUGAUUAUUAUGCCUCAGUAUUCACUAUAAACUUGAAGGAUUUAACAUCCAGUGAUCAUAAUGUAACUCCAAUAUGCUAAUGCUAAGAGACGAGCUCGACCUGACAUAAGUGGCUGCCGGUCGAUGAGAGAGAUCAGCCAAAAGCACAUCAAGACAGAUUGGGACUUUCCUCAUUACCUCCCUGACAAGUUAUAAGAAAACUUAUUCACCUUUUUGACAGCAGUUCAAGAGAAUGAAAAGAGAGAUGGAUGUUUGAACUUAUG